AGACUUAUAUGUUCGAGAGUUUGGUUUGUGGACACUGUAAGAGAAAACAGACGGGAAUCGACGAGAGCUUCUUGUGAAAAGAAAUUCAUCGAAAGGUUUAGAAAAAUUUGUAACCAAUUCUGAUUCAUCUUGAGUGUUUGAAAGUGAUGAAUUUCAUAUUAUAAUCUACUAAUUUCCAUGGAUAUUUGGAAGUAACCAAAGAAGGGUUUUUCUUUGUUCUUGUUUUAUGAUUAAAGGUUGUACUGUUUGAAUAGGUGUCUUUGAAUUCAGUGGGCGGAUUGCGAAGUUUGAGGUUUGAGUAGAGGUUGAGGUAGCUCUGGUGUAAGUGGUGUUGGUUCGGCCGAAAGAGAAAUUGACGUUUGGGUCGAUUAAGUGGACUUAACUUAUGCUCUUGUGAGAUCGUUGCUGGUCUCAGUGUUAUUUUUUUGCAGUCUUGUAACUUCUGAAGGUGUUUUCUCUUUUUGAGUAUUUUGUGUGUAAGCUAGUCUCUAACCCCUGAAUGUAUAUAAUAUGUAUAAUGUAUAUUAACAAACAAAACACUGUAAAUUAGAUGGUUUUGUAUAAUAUGAAAAGUCUAGUUUAUGUCU